rnacentral:rRNA from 1 species
GUGAGGAAUAUUGGUCAAUGGGCGGGAGCCUGAACCAGCCAAGUCGCGUGAAGGAAGAAGGAUCUAUGGUUCGUAAACUUCUUUUGCAGGGGAAUAAAGUGCAGGACGUGUCCUGUUUUGUAUGUACCCUGAGAAUAAGGAUCGGCUAACUCCGUGCCAGCAGCCGCGGUAAUACGGAGGAUCCGAGCGUUAUCCGGAUUUAUUGGGUUUAAAGGGUGCGUAGGUGGUUUGAUAAGUCAGCGGUGAAAGUUUGCAGCUUAACUGUAAAAAUGCCGUUGAAACAGUCGGACUCAAGUGUAAAGGAGGUAGGCGGAAUGCGUGGUGUAGCGGUGAAAUGCAUAGAUAUCACGCAGAACUCCGAUUGCGAAGGCAGCUUACUAAGCUACAACUGACACUGAAGCACGAAAGCGUGGGGAUCAAACAGGAUUAGAAACCCUUGUAGUCC